ensembl:snRNA U2 U2 spliceosomal RNA
AUUGCUUCUAGGCCUUUCGGCUAAGAUCAAACGUGGUAUCUGUUCUUAUUGGUUUUAUAGCCCAUACAUCCUCUAUCUGAGGACAAUAUAGUAAAUGGAUUUGGGGAGCAGGGAAAUAGAAUAGGAGCUUGCUUGUUCCCUCCAUGCAUCGAGCUGGUUAAAAAAAGAAGAAGAAAGGAAAAUCACCUUUC